AAAAGGAGGGGGGAAAAAAAAAAAAAAGCGGAUUUCCCUGCUGGUUUGAGUAAAUGUUUAAUCCCCAGCUCGGAGAAAAAGCAGCUCAAAAGUGCUUUUUUUCUCAGCAAGUCUGAACCAGUCAGCCUGGUGCCUCCUCCCUCCGGCUCACACCCUCCCUCCCACCGCUCCAGAGGAAUAUCCCAGCCUGCUCCAAGGUGCAGCUGGGCACCCAGGGCAGGAGGGAGCCAGACCGGAGUGGCGUUGGCACCCACCAAGCUGGGAGAGGAGAAGGGCCGGGAAGUUUUCUGGACGGCGGCGGGACGGCAGCGUGCCCAGUGCAGGCAGCGCGGGCUCCCACGCUCCCGCUUGCCUGUGCCCCUCCAGCGCUGGAAGCGACUGGGAUGGGGUCCCCUCACUGGAAACGCCUCUGCUUUUUGCUCCUGGUGGGUUUAACGUCUUCCCUGCUCCUCUACAGUCACUACUACGCUACGGUGGAGUCACCCGCCAGCCAGAGGAUCAUAGCCAGCCUGCUGCAGCCGGAGCCGCUGGUCCUGGCUCCGCCGGGGACAUCGCGCCGAGCCGGCAGCCGCAGAUGGAACCUUGAAGGCGGCUUAGAGAGUGGGAAGUCCUUCAAGCCUUCUCCUGAGCUGGAGGAGCCCAAGCCCAGCAGAAAGCAGCCAAGGCCAUGCCCCCGCUCGGUGAUGGCCAGAGCAAAGGCAGACCCCAAGUUUGGGGAGAUCUUCCGCUUCGACACCCCCGUGCUGAUGUGGGACCAGCACUUCACCCCGGAGACCUGGGACAGGCUGAGGACACGACACGUCCCCUACGGCUGGCAAGGCUUGUCCCACACAGUGGUGGGCAGCACCCUCCGGCUCCUCAACGCCUCUGCCAACAGGCGCCUCUUCGACAGGGACGCCUUCCCCGGGGGCUGUGUCCGCUGCGCCGUGGUAGGCAACGGCGGCAUCCUCAACGGCUCGCGGCAGGGCAAGGCCAUCGAUGCGCACGAUCUGGUCUUCAGGCUCAACGGUGCCGUGAUCAAAGGCUUCGAGGAGGAUGUGGGGACCAAGAUCUCCUUCUAUGGCUUCACGGUGAACACCAUGAAGAACUCCCUCAUGGCCUACGAGGAGUACGGCUUCACCCACAUACCCCAGGCCAAGGACCUGAGGUACAUCUUCAUCCCCUCGGACAUCCGCGACUACAUGAUGCUGAAGUCGGCCAUCCAGGGCAGCCCAGUCCCCGAGGGCUCGGACAAGGGGGACAAGCCACAGAAGUAUUUUGGACCGGAGGCAUCUGCAGAGAAGUUCAAGCUGCUGCAUCCUGAUUUCUUGCAGUACCUGACAGCGAGGUUCCUGCGGUCGGAGCUCCUGAACACGCAGUACGGCUCGCUCUACAUGCCCAGCACCGGCGCACUCAUGCUCCUCACCGCGCUCCACACCUGCGACCAGGUCAGUGCCUAUGGGUUCAUCACCGCCAACUACGAGCAGUUCUCGGACCACUACUAUGAGCUGGAGAAGAAGCCGCUGGUGUUUUAUGCCAACCAUGACAUGAUGCUGGAGGCGGCGCUGUGGAGGGGGCUGCACCGAGCAGGGAUCAUGACCCUCUACCAGCGGUGAGGCUGGGUGGUCGCCUACGGGGGCAAGUCCAAGGACUCCUGUGGCUCUUUCUCCUCUUUCCUGAAGGCCACCUUCUCCCUGGCGAGGGCUCUCCCCAGCUGGCCAGCCAGCCCAAGGAGUGGACCCUCCACACUGCAGCAGUGGUGUGAUGGUCAGGGGCAAGGUGAAGCUGGUGGAGAAAUGUUGCAUUUCCUCAGGAAUCUCCAGCAACGUUUCAUGGCUCAAUGUGAUUGAAUGUGGCCUUUGAGGCGCCAAGAAGCACCACAACACGUGGCUGUGACCUCCCAGCCCCAUGAACAUGGCUGGGAAGCACAGAAGGGGCUGGAAGAAGAUGCUGGAGAUGUGUAUGUGUGGCAGCCUCUGGCUGGAAGAACGCCCUUCACCUUGCCAUCGUGCCCCCGUUCAAAUGCUUGUCACCAUGGUGGGACAACAGGCAUGAUGAAUCCUUACACUGGAGACUAGAUCAUCCAGCUAACGGGAAGGUUGGAGAACACCUCCCUCCUGGCCUGCAGAAAGCCCCAACUCCAGCCAGGUUUAUGUGUGCCACUUUCUAGAAGGACUUGGUUGCCUCCAUGAUCAAUGGGAAAGCCAGCGGCUUGGCUGCCCUCUCCUGUGACAGGCGCACAGCAUGCCCUGUCAUUUUCCUCUUUCUAGGUCAUGGUGUUUUCAAACAAGGAUCUUAAACAGCUAAGAGCAGCGGUACUGCAGCUCAGCUGGGACAUCAGAAACGUGGCUGGUUUUGAGCAGCCUGGAGAUGAGAGCUGGCCUACAGCCCACCCGGGUGGUACUGGGUUUGUUGGGUUUUUCUCGCACAGGGACCGUGUGGUGCCCUCCAAGUGCUUUGACAAGGCAGCCCCAUGCCAGGUGGGUCAGGGAACCUGCUAGCUCGUUGGGUCAGACUAAGUGACUGUCACUUUCCUCCCAAACAACCUGAGGGAGGUGAAGUUCUUGAAGCCUUCAGCCACCCCGGAUAAGCCAGCGCUGCCAAGGAAGACCCGCUGGGGAGGCCACUCCAGCUGGUGGUGGCCGGAGGGUUGACACGGCACCGCAGUGGCAGCAGUGCCAUGCGAGACAGUUUCCCGCUUUGUGUAAUUACAUAAAUGUUGAAUGAGCAUUUUCUUACAUGCCUAUUUCUGUUGUUUUGGCAAACGGGGUGGGGUGAGGCCCCUACCUCCCCCAGCAGAGGGGCUGUAGCGUGUAGCAGAGCGAGCCCCCGACUGGAGAACAGCCCGAGGCGGGGAUGGGAGCCGGCUUAAAGGGUGGAGAUGGGCUGGCAGGGAAGCCUGGUGCCCAGCACCGUGACGGAUCUGUGGGAGCAGCUCCGAGCACAGCCGUCUUCCACUUGGGAUGCGGUUGUGCUGUACCGUCAGCUGGGGAGGAGCGAUUUACUGCAGCGAUGGCAAGAGAGAGCCUGGCCGUGAGCCAGGGAACCUCCAGCCCCCCUCCAGCUCGCAGCAGGCUGCUCCCAGCCAGUUCAAAUGAGCAUUACCGAGGCUUAGUCUCUAAGCCUGUUUCAGAUGUAAUCUCCGGCUUGGAGCCCAUCUUAUGUUCCCAGGUCUCAAAUUAACCUUUGUUUGCAUCAGGGCCACCUUACAAUGGUACCAAGGCAGCCUGUUAGGCCUGUUUUUUAUUCACAAGCACUCAGCAAAACGUCUUUCAUGACAAGAACGAGCCUGAUCCUCACAUCACCUGACCAAGACAGCACUAAAACCUCCUCAAACCAGCUCUGGCCGAACCUCGGCACAGCCCACGCAGGUGACUCUGGACGUGGCCAUCAGCAGCACCUUGAUGCGCAGACGCAAAACAAACAGGUCUGAAAAAGGAGCGCCGUCAUGGUGCAGCAUCCUGCCAGGAAUCCCGUCCAGCUCGUGGGCAGAGCUGUUUGUGCACACGAGGAACUCAGGACGCACACCCUCCUUUCCCAUUUCAAAAAGGGAGGUUUUUCUCGCCAAGGGUGUAGCCCAGCCCUGGAGUUAAACAUACUCCAUUUUAAGCGCUCACCAGACAAAGAACCUGAUGGCUUUCUACUGCCUCUCCCUUCCAGCGUCCAAGCAGACCACAAGAAUCAUUUCUGUCACGUCCUGGAUUAGCUGGUUUUAUUCAUCCAGAGGAUCCAGCUGCCAACACGCUUUGCAAGGCUCCAAAUUCAUAAUCGCUUCCCUAACAUCUUCCUCCAAGAGGCUGCAGUUUGGCACAGGCACCACCUUUGAUGUCUGAGUUUGGCGACCACCCCGUGCCUUAGGAGCCCAGUUCAUGGCCAGGGCAUCUGCGUGGCUCAGAUGGUGCUUGCGACGGUGGACUUUGCUUGUGUUGUUAUAACAGAACGGCCUGGUCUAGCCAAGAAACGGAAGGAGAAGCUGCAUUCUGGUCUUGCUGAGACUGGCUUGGUAUGUAAACCUGGCCUGAAAGCUUGGAUCACAAAUGAACUCUUGCUUUUUCAAGGAUUAGACUUUUCUGCCAUCUUCAAUUUACAAGCUAAAGGGCUGUCGUGACUUGCCUGCAGUCAGCAGCUCCAGUCAUUCUGCAGCAUUCAUGGCAAUCUCCUGGGAUUUUUAAUGACCAAGGAUGUGAUGUGUGUUGCAAUGUGAACUUCACGUUACCUUCACAGAAAACCUAAAUGCAUCUUAACUGGGGUUAACCUGGUGUCACUGCCUUAGGCUUUAGCGGAUCAGUGUUACAUCUGUCCUAACUGUGAACUUUACAUGCUUCAUGCCUAAAAAUCUUCACGGUCGGAAAAAGCGCCCCUACUUGAGUGAACCACUGAGAUGGUGUGAGUUAUUGGCUGGUACUGCUACUGACUGAGCCUCUGCCAGCACAUCCCACUAAAAUGAUGCACUGAGAAGGUGAAGCUGCACCUCCACCAGGCUCAUUGCUGUCAGACUGGGUGCUGAGCACUACCUGCAAUGGGUACUUUCGAGAUUAACCUUGGUCUCAGUCAAGGUGAGCAGGAAAAAGCAUAUUGCCUUGAUGCUGUCUGAAGGCUGCCUUCUGCAUCGUGACUGAAGGUGGAACCUGGUUAUCAGCAAAAACAGGUGUCAGCUGGUUUAAGCCCUCCAAAAACUUGGUUACCAAUAUUUCUGACCUUAUUCUAUCUGUCACAUUCAAGAUGUGAGCAAACACAGAGCCAGUGUUGUUCCUUCAGCUGGAAGGGACAAGAAACCAUGUGCUCCGAGGCUCCUUGUUUGUCUCAGCUGGUCCCAGGCCUCCAGAAAGCCUUUCCUAAUUCUCUUCUGGCUGUCUCUAACCACCUCCCUGUUCCUGAGUAAUUCUGCUGCUUCCGAAGCAUUGCUGGCGCUCUGCCUGACCGCAUCAGCUACCUGAGCUGCUCUGCUCCUUACUCCUCCUGGUAACCAGAGACUAUGUACAUCGAUCUUUAGCCUCCUGCUGAAGCACAGCAAUCUGAGAAGAAACCCCUGGGCACGGCAGAGGGACUGUUGCAGGCUCUGUCCUGCACUUGGUAAAUACCUGGGGGAGACAUUAACCUUUGUGGGGAAAGGGGUUAUGUACAUCUGUCAGCUCUGCUAUUCAAGCACACGGCAAUCCCAUGGGCAUGGACACCUCCACCUGAAAUCCGAGAGCCAGCUCAGCCCAUGCAACCCCCACGUGCGUCCCUGCUCGCCAGUCUGACUCUGAUAGCACCAGGUUUCUCACAGCUCUUGGGGACAAACCUCGCUUAGCCCUGACAAGCCUCAAAAGCUCUUUCACAGCAAGCCAUGUGUGAACCCAGCGCGUCACAUAUCGGCACCAUCUACCUGACUUUAUCCUGCCCGUUUACAAUAGGCACAACAGGCCUGGACAGGUUGGGGACCAGGUGUGGGACAGAGGUCAUCUGCAUCCUAGGCUGAAACGAGUCCAGGAACCUCCUCAAGCUGCCGAAGGAGCCCUGCGGAGACCUGAGAGGUGGGUAAAACCCAUCCCCACCUCCAGAUACCCAGCUGGCUUUUCCACUUCUGAAGCACAGCUCCUUUUCAGUGCUAGAAUUUGGGGUCACUUUCAAUAACUCGCUCAAAAAUCAGAAGAAAAAGCUGGAGACGCUCUCUGAGUCAUUGGCAUGUUGUUACCAAGGACACUAAGGUUCCUGAUUUUGAAGAAGAGAUUAAUUACAUUCUACAAAUAGACUUUUUAUCUGCAUUGAAGAGCAGCAAGAGCGAGUUCUUUUAGCGUAGCUCAUUAUGUAUCAGCAGGUAGUAUUGUGACAGAUGUAGGAAUCCAGUCGUAUUGUCACUUGGGUUUAAUCAUCAGAAAGCUGUCUUCCCCGGGUCAGCUUCUAGUGAGGAUUUGUAAUAUUUACAUAGCACUUGGGGCUGGCUUCUUUAUUGCUGGAGUCUGUAUUCACUCGUCAGUCUCUCAUUAUGCAUGUGCCAGUAUUAAUUGCAUUUAGAAAUGAGAUUCUAAAGGAGAAGUGAGAGCUAUUUAGACCUCCAUUCAGCUUGAAAGACAGCAGCCUUCUGUGUGACAGCUCUCGAGAUGUUCUUGUGCUCGGCUUUCUCUCCAGCUGAAAAGCAGGUGUUGGAGAGAGUUGGUGUCGGAGCCACUGUAUCAGCACUGCCUUUUGUGCAUGCCCAGACAUUUAUAUAACCGACAGUAUAAUGACUCCGCAGAAGUGGCACAGCAUUGACCCUUCUGGUACUGGAUUCAAACCCAGCAAGGUAGAGAGCGGAUCUGCUCAGUUGCUAUACAGACAUAAGGGGGGAAAGCGAUGCAAAGCCUUGUCUUCCAUGGAAAGAGGGGGGGUUAUUUUCUUGCUGGUGGGUUGGGGGGUUAUUUAUCGGCUCGGCUGUGCCUGCAGCACUUUGGAGCUGUGUUUGUGGCCUUGCUAAUGUAUUUAAAGUCGUAGAGAAAUUCA